UACAGAGGGGGCAAGCGUUAUUCGGAAUUAUUGGGCGUAAAGGGCUCGUAGGCGGCCAACUAAGUCGGACGUGAAAUCCCCAGGCUCAACCUGGGAACUGCGUCUGAUACUGGAUGGCUUGAAUCCGGGAGAGGGAUGCAGAAUUCCUGGUGUAGCGGUGAAAUGCGCAGAUAUCAGGAAGAACACCCGUGGCGAAGGCGGUUCUCUGGGACGGUACUGACGCUGAGACGCGAAAGCGUGGGGAGCGAACAGG
rnacentral:rRNA from 1 species